rnacentral:rRNA from 1 species
UACGUAGGGUCCGAGCGUUGUCCGGAGUUACUGGGCGUAAAGGGUGCGUAGGCGGUUCGAUAAGUCGGGUGUGAAAACUCUGGGCUCAACCCAGAGACGCCACCCGAUACUGUCGUGACUGGAGUCCGGUAGGGGAGUAUGGAAUUUCCGGUGUAGCGGUGAAAUGCGCAGAUAUCGGAAGGAACACCAGUAGCGAAGGCGGUACUCUGGGCCGGAACUGACGCUGAGGAGCGAAAGCGGUGGGAGCGAACAGG